AACCAAGUCAACCCAAGAGGCCAUGCUUCCCUCCGAUCGAGUAAGCUCGCCCUACCCUCCUAACGUUUCGAUGCUUGGUUCACUGUUUGAUGAUCUUGCGUUAGUUUUAGCUUUACUUGAGGGAGAUUCAAUGAAGGGUUCUUGAGUUGACGAUUCUUGAAAUGAGAGAUAUGGUGAAAGCCCGCCAUACAUCGAUAAGCUUUUGCCUCAUGACCGUUCUAAAUCGCUUUCGUUCAGUUCUUUGUUGGUGGGUUUGUGCUGUUGCUCAGAUGCGAAGUACUAAAGACCUCGAAUGUCGUCGUCUCGAAUCUGUUUGGUGAUUUCGCAUUGGCCACUCGCUGUACUUCCUCCUUAUUCGAGCUGAAUUCUGCUAGAAUCAUUUAUCUAGCAAGUGAGCUGUUAUCGUUACCAGGUUACUUUGCCAUCCUGUUGUCUAGAAUAUCCUAUCUCGCUUGUAAUUUUGUGCUGAUGUUCAUGCAGUUGAGCAUGGAAUGGGUCUGAAAUGAAUCCUGUGCCGAGUUGCUGUUUGACUUGCUGUUUGACAAAGGAGGAUCUGCGGAAUAUGUUUAGAGAAGAGCUGGAGCGUGCUAAGUCUGACUGGGCCAAAUAUUUUCAAAGUUUCUUCAGGAAUGCUGUUAAAGAAAUAGUGCAAGAGAUGCAAUCAAUGGAGAAUGCUUCUAAGAAACUGAUCUAGGACAUGAGAGGAGCUGUAAAACUUGUUCUGAUAAUCUGCUUUGAGAAAGCACACUAAAAGAAAAAGUGCAAUUUUAGAUUCUUCAUAUUGUCUGCAUAGCACAGAGGUGCUAUUGAUAUCACACCAAGUUUUCAUGGUGCUGUAUUCAACACCAAUGGUCAACUGGUCGGCCUAAUCAAAGACAGAGUAUCUUUUGCUACUCAUCGACUUUCUGCCCAAGAGAAGGAACAUGGAGAUGCAAUCGUGAUGAAGGCCUUGGCUAACUGGAAUGAUGUGAGAGAGUUCAAUGGUGAGACAUUUUCUGAUUCAAUGCAGAAGAAUAGCUCAAGCUCAUAUUCAUCUUCAGUCUUAGGUGGACAAACUGAAAAUCGCAACCAUGUUCAACGUUAUUUGGCUCCACCAAUUGUUGCUGCUCCAGUUGGUCCGGAAGCUCCUCUGGCAAAUGCGGGCUCCGCUGCUGAAGGUACGUGCCAGAGAACACAAAACUGUCUCUCCCUUUAAGCAUAUACAAAGAUGUGGCCUGUGAAAUUACGAUGAAAAUGGGACUUUCCACUUGAUUUUUAAGCUUGAAUAUAUAAAAGCAUUGUGUACCUGAUCCUUAUGAUUCUGGGCUCCAAAUCAUAUAAAGACGUUUGUUUGUCCAGCUGUGAUUAUUGUGACAUGAGCCUCAUUAAAUGCAAUCUAUCCAUUUUGGCCAAUAUAUGUACAUAUGUAUGUAUGCAUGUAUGUGUUCUGUCCAAGCUAUUCAAAAGCAACUAAAAAAUUAGUUGGU